rnacentral:lncRNA from 1 species
AAUGUUUUAUUAUUCUGCUCACUGGGCUCUUGUAGCUCACUCCUCUCCCUUAACCCCCAGGCUUGCAGGUACAGGGUAGACCAGGAGGUCAGCAAGAGUAAUGAAGUCUUGUGUAUGUAAUAGCUAGAAUGUGGACAUGACAAAUUGUAUAAUGAUGUAGAGUUGUGAAUAGUUAUGUAAUGUAAUGACAUUGAGGAUUAGAAAUUGUGCUUGACCCUAUGUGUAUGGUAUCCCUUUUAAUACAUGAUCUCAGAGGUUUUGUAAUGCUUAUGUAAACCAACUCAACACAUGUUAUGCCACCCAUUGGGGGCAUUGAUGAGUUCCCACAGAGGGGCAAAUGUUUAUGAUUAUG